rnacentral:tRNA from 1 species
GGGGGUAUAGCUCAGUUGGGAGAGCAUCUGCCUUGCACGUAGAAGGUCAGGAGUUCGAACCUCCUUACCUCCACCA